rnacentral:rRNA from 1 species
AGAGUUUGAUCCUGGCUCAGGACGAACGCUGGCGGCGUGCCUAACACAUGCAAGUCGAACGGAGAAUUAGCAAUAAUUCUUAGUGGCGAACGGGUGAGUAACGCGUAGACAACCUACCCUUUAGAUGGGGACAACAGAUCGAAAGAUCUGCUAAUACCGAAUGUUGUUUGAGAAACGCAUGUUUCUCAAACUAAAGAUGG